UGUGGUGAGUACCAGCAAAGACGGCGCAGAGACAAGACGUGUUUAAUUCGUGAGAGUGACCGUUGAUUUCGCCGAGGUCAACAGGUUCUAUAUGUGACUGUUUAAUCAUACCAUGCACAAAAGAAGCCUUGCAACUGUCUAAAUUUCAAAGACGCCGUAUUGUAGGUCAUUCUGAAGGUGGACAUAGUCAGC